UACGGGGGGGAGCAAGCGUUGUUCGGAUUUACUGGGCGUAAAGGGCGCGUAGGCGGUCAGCACAAGUCAGUUGUGAAAUCUCCGAGCUUAACUCGGAAAGGUCAACUGAUACUGUGCGACUAGAGUGCGGAAGGGGCAACUGGAAUUCUUGGUGUAGCGGUGAAAUGCGUAGAUAUCAAGAGGAACACCUGCGGCGAAGGCGGGUUGCUGGGCCGACACUGACGCUGAAGCGCGAAAGCCAGGGGAGCAAACGGG
rnacentral:rRNA from 1 species